rnacentral:rRNA from 1 species
UACAGAGGUCUCGAGCGUUGUUCGGAUUCAUUGGGCGUAAAGGGCGCGUAGGCGGCGGGGUAAGUCUGGUGUGAAAUCUCGGAGCUCAACUCCGAAAUUGCACUGGAUACUGCUCUGCUAGAGGGCUGGAGAGGAGAUCGGAAUUCACGGUGUAGCAGUGAAAUGCGUAGAUAUCGUGAGGAAGACCAGUGGCGAAGGCGGUUCUCUGGGCCUGUGCUGACGCUGAGGAGCGAAAGCGUGGGGAGCGAACAGG